rnacentral:rRNA from 1 species
CCCUUAGAUGUUCUGGGCUGCACGCGCGCUACACUGAAGCUAUCAACACGUUUUCCCUCCCUGAGAAGGGCGGGUAACCUUUUGAAUCAGCUUCGUGGUAGGGAUCGGGGCUUGCAAUUGUUCCCCGUGAACCAGGAAUUCCUAGUAGACGCGAGUCAUAAGCUCGCAUCGAUUAAGUCCCUGCCCUUUGUACACACCGCCCGUCGCUACUACCGAUUGAACGUUUUAGUGAGGCAUUUGGACCGACACAUCUCAGUUUAACCGCUGGUUUGUGUUGGAAAGACUUCCAAACUUGAGCGUUUAGAGGAAGUAAAAGUCGUAACA